rnacentral:piRNA from 1 species
UGUUGAAAAUAUUUAUGUGAUCUAAGU